rnacentral:rRNA from 1 species
AGUGAACGCUGGCGGUAGGCCUAACACAUGCAAGUCGAACGGCAGCACAGUAAGAGCUUGCUCUUACGGGUGGCGAGUGGCGGACGGGUGAGGAAUACAUCGGAAUCUACUUUUUCGUGGGGGAUAACGUAGGGAGACUUACGCUAAUACCGCAUACGACCUACGGGUGAAAGCAGGGGAUCUUCGGACCUUGCGCGAUUGAAUGAGCCGAUGUCGGAUUAGCUAGUUGGCGGGGUAAAGGCCCACCAAGGCGACGAUCCGUAGCUGGUCUGAGAGGAUGAUCAGCCACACUGGAACUGAGACACGGUCCAGACUCCUACGGGAGGCAGCAGUGGGGAAUAUUGGACAAUGGGCGUAAGCCUGAUCCAGCCAUACCGCGUGGGUGAAGAAGGCCUUCGGGUUGUAAAGCCCUUUUGUUGGGAAAGAAAAGCAGCAGGUUAAUACCCCGCUGUUCUGACGGUACCCAAAGAAUAAGCACCGGCUAACUUCGUG